CUCUCUAUUUCCUAUCUUCUUUUCCAGAAACAUUUUAAUUUCCGUUUUCAGAUUCAGAGGGAAACCUUAACAUAUUCAAAUCAACUAAUCGAAACCUUUAAUAUUUUUUCAGAAAACAGACCUAAUUGACUAAUAUAAUCAAUUUCAUCAAAAAAAUUAACCAGAAAAACACCAUAAAAAACCCUAAAUAAAUAAAUCAAAGAAUAAAUCACAAUCAAAAGUAGAGAAAAACAAGCAAAUGGUUGUAGUUCAACGACAAUCGACUGUUCAAGAAGAAUCGGAGUAAGAUAUUGAAGCAAUUGAAGAGUUGGCUUGCUGAGCAUUCAAAAGUGUUGAUAUUCAAGUGGAAAGUGCAAGAAAAGGAUGACGAGAACGCUUACCGUCUCAGGUUCGCAAGGUGGAAAAUUAGAGACAUCUGUAAAUCAUUGGAAAUAAAUGUUUCUCAAUUUGGAAAGCUCUCACAAAAUUUCUGGAAGACUCGCACUUUAAUUGAACAAGGAAUACUGAACCAAGUAAGGUCGAAGACAAAAGUUGAGUUGAUCGAAGAAGAAUAUGAUAAUAUGACUAUUCAGAUAGAAACUAUGAAAGCUAAACAUGCUGAAGAGUUGGAAGAAUCGAAAUCUAAAUAUGCUACAGAGAUUAAAAAAAUUAGUCUAAACUAUAAAUGAGAGAUAGCCGAUCUGGAAGUUAAACAACAAGACCUAGAAGAACGAAUAGCAGAAAUGACAACUGAAAAGAUGUCUUUUCAAAGAAAGAUUGACAUUCUUGCUGAACACUUGAGAUCAAAGACAGCUGAAGUUGAUGCUAUUGUGCAAAAAAAAAAGGACUCACAAGUGUGUGUACAUGACAAAUUUGACAAUGGAAUUCUUACAACACUCUUUCCAAAGUGAGUACCAAUGUGAGUUGUUAGCUCAUAAAAUUAGAGAUCAACUAAAUGCUGAAGUGAAUGUUGAAGGUGUCAAUGAUGGAAUUGAAUCUCAAAAUCAAGUGAAUGCUGAAAAUCAAGGUGAUAAUGGUGGAUUAGAGUUGGAAGAAGAUAUUAUUGUACCUAGUAAUGAUGAAGAAGCUAUGAAUCUCAAUUAUAAUGAAGGUGCUUGUGGGCUUGAGAUCAAUUUCCCAAUGUUGAAUGUUCAGAAUAUUUUUGAAGAAAUGGAUGUCAGUGGUUCAGAGAAUAGGCUGCAAAAGUUGAUUCAUGAAGAAGCUCGAUUGUUUCCUUCAACAAACAGUUCAGAUGGAGUUCUUCCUGAAAAUGAACCCCAACCUAUGGAUCUAGGUUACUCUCAAUGAGAAUUUAUCUUCCAAAUUUUAGGCAAUGUAAUAAUCAUGACUAAAUUUUAGUAUCACUAUAUAUGCUUUUCUAGGUUUAUUCUAAGUGAAUUAUUUGUCACCUUCA